rnacentral:lncRNA from 1 species
UUGGGGUUGUCCAGCUGAGGCAAGGCCUUAUAGGCCAAAUGAAAAGAAACUGGAUGCUAAGAUGGUUAGUAGCUAUUUUGUUGGAUAAUCUGAAAAAUCCAGGGGGUUUUAAGUUUUAUGAUCCCACUUCUAGAACUAUUUUUGAGGCGGGUAAUGCUAGGUUCUUUGAGGAUAUUGAGUUUGGGGGGUGGGGAGAUAAAGUAGUUAGAGAUUUUGUCUUCAAGGAAGAACAUGUGUCUUUCCCUCAAAUUGUUGAUCUUGGUCUUACUGACUCGGAUCACACAACUCCGGUUCAAGACAAUCUCGAAAAUCUCCCCCAUCACCACUUCUAGAACUAUUUUUGAGGCGGGUAAUGCUAGGUUCUUUGAGGAUAUUGAGUUUGGGGGGUGGGGAGAUAAAGUAGUUAGAGAUUUUGUCUUCAAGGAAGAACAUGUGUCUUUCCCUCAAGUUGUUGAUCUUGGUCACAUUCCUGACACAGAUCACACAACUCUGGUUCAAGACAAUCUCGAAAAUCUUCCCCAU